UACGAAGGGGGCUAGCGUUGCUCGGAAUUAUUGGGCGUAAAGCGUACGUAGGCGGCUCUUUAAGUCGGGGGUGAAAUCCUGGAGCUCAACUCCAGAACUGCCUUCGAUACUGGAGAGCUCGAGUCCGGGAGAGGUGAGUGGAACUGCGAGUGUAGAGGUGAAAUUCGUAGAUAUUCGCAAGAACACCAGUGGCGAAGGCGGCUCACUGGCCCGGUACUGACGCUGAGAUGCGAAAGCGUGGGGAGCAAACAGG
rnacentral:rRNA from 1 species